rnacentral:rRNA from 1 species
GCACAACGCGAAGAACCUUACCAAGGCUUGACAUACACGAGAACAUCCCAGAAAUGGGGGACUCUUUGGACACUCGUGAACAGGUGGUGCAUGGUUGUCGUCAGCUCGUGUCGUGAGAUGUUGGGUUAAGUCCCGCAACGAGCGCAACCCUCGUUCUAUGUUGCCAGCACGUAAUGGUGGGAACUCAUGGGAUACUGCCGGGGUCAACUCGGAGGAAGGUGGGGAUGACGUCAAAUCAUCAUGCCCCUUAUGUCUUGGGCUUCACGCAUGCUACAAUGGCCGGUACAAAGGGCUGCAAUACCGUGAGGUGGAGCGAAUCCCAAAAAGCCGGUCCCAGUUCGGAUUGAGGUCUGCAACUCGACCUCAUGAAGUCGGAGUCGCUAGUAAUCGCAGAUCAGCAACGCUGCGGUGAAUACGUUCCCGGGUCUUGUACACACCG